ensembl:lncRNA
CAGUUGUAUAGUGGGACAGUGCCUCUGGAUUGUGAACUUCACCUAUCUUUCCAAUGAAGAUGGCUGGAGUGGGCUAGAGUUGUAUAUUUCCCCUUUCCUAUGUGGAAGGUUACAGCUGAUUAGAGUUGGGUAUUUCCCUUCUCCCAGGUGAGCUAGGCUCUGCUAAUACCCCAGCCAAUUAGACUCUGGUUAACUAAUUUCUCCUGUGGGCAGACUUUAUUAAGAAGAAUAAGAGCAUGCUCUGACGCACUUCGAAAUGGUUCCUCUUCUCCUGUUGCUGCUGAAAGCACAGGGGGAUUUUUCUCUAGUACUUAAAGUGAGAAACUGCAUGAGCUCCUGGAAGUAAAACUCACUAACCUGUGGGAGCUCCCCCACCAUGACUGGGUUCCCCUGGAGUUUUUAAAUGUCAGAAUUGUCCACACUGAGCCUCCAGCAAUUCGUCAGUUCCAGUUUGGUGUUCCUAUUGCAGCUGGUUCUCUUGCCAGUUUCUGUGCAUGAGACAGCUCAGGACUCACGUAUGGAUGUGAGAGUUGUACCAUAGAGACACCUGAGCGCUGAAGAAUUGCUGCUUUUGAACUGUAAUGGAGAAGACUCUUGAGAGUCCCUUGGACUGCAAGGAGAGCAACCCAGUCAAUCCUAAAGGAAAUCAACCCUGAAUAAUUGUUGGAAGGACUGAUCCUGAAGCUCCAAUACUUAGACCACCUGUUGCAAAGAACCAACUCAUUUGAAAAGACCCUGAUGCUGGAAAAGAUUGAAGCCAGGAAGAAGGGGAUGAUAGAGGAUGAGAUGGUUGGAUGGCAUCACAGACUCAAUGAUUAUGAGUUUGAGCAAGCUCCAGGAGUUGGUGAAGGACAGGGAAGCUUAGUGUGCUGUACUCAUAGGGUUGCAGAGAGUUGGACAUGAUUGAAUGACUGAACAACAACUAAAACAAUUAGAAGUAUCAUGGGUAGUUUGGAGGUCUUUAAUGUUUGCCCCUUCUCUGUCAUUUUUCUGUACACUUUCUUUUUAUAUAAGCAAUUCAUAUUUUCUUUUUGUUGUAUAAGUCUGCUCUACAACUGCACUGUUAACUCCCGGAGCCAUAUCCAGAAUAGCUUUUGCAAAAUUUUACAGGUACAUUUAAUUUAGAGCAGCCUUCAAGCACAGGGUUGAAAAAUUGUCCAAAAUUUAAAAUAUAUUUUGCAGGUUUAAUAAUUUUAAUGCAAAGUUUAUAUCCUCUGUAAUUGUUUUUAUUUCCUCCUGGGGCAAGUCAAAAACAUUUUUUAAAAAGUUUGACAAUGUCUGCAUAAAUUUAAGUGUUAAGAUAUUGAUCUAUUUUUAUUUAACACCAAUAUUUUCUUAUUGUCUCACUGUAUGUUUUAUUUUUGUUUUGUUGUUGUUCAAUCACUGUUGUGUCGGACUGAAACAUUUUAAAAAGUAUAUAAACAAAGUCUCAUUUUAUAUAAAUAUUGUCAUUUGUUUUGGUGGUUAGCAAUACAUCUAUGAGAACCUUAGGACCAUUUUGCCAUAAUAUUGAAUGAAAUUGUAAAUUUUGAAUGAAAUUGUAUGGUACAACACCUGAAACAUUUGUUGUAAUAUUGCACGAUGUUGUUUCUUAUGGCAAACAUGAUAUGAUAAGUUACAUUUUAAAAUAUAUAUUUGUUUUAUAAAAUUUCUCCAUUCCUGAUCUGCGAUUGGUUUACUGUCAGCAAUUUUUUUCAUUUUUCUAAAUAGUAGCUUCAGUUCAGUUCAGUUUAGUUCAGUCACUCAGUCAUGUCUGACUCUUUGCAACCCCAUGAAUCGCAGCAUGCCAGGCCUCCCUGUCCAUCACCAACUCCCGGAGUUCACUCACACUCACAUCCAUCGAGUCAGUGAUGCCAUCCAGCCAUCUCAUCCUCUGUUGUCCCCUUCUCCUCCUGCCCCCAAUCCCUCCCAGCAUCAGAGUCUUUUCCAAUGAGUCAACUCUUUGCAUCAGGUGGCCAAAGUACUGGAGUUUCAGCC